rnacentral:rRNA from 1 species
CAGUCGCCGCGGGAAUACGAGGGGGGCAAGCGUUGUUCGGAAUUAUUGGGCGUAAAGCGAGCGCAGGCGGUUAGAUAAGUCUGAAGUUAAAGGCUGUGGCUUAACCAUAGUACGCUUUGGAAACUGUUUAACUUGAGUGCAAGAGGGGAGAGUGGAAUUCCAUGUGUAGCGGUGAAAUGCGUAGAUAUAUGGAGGAACACCGGUGGCGAAAGCGGCUCUCUGGCUUGUAACUGUCGCUGAGGCUCGAAAGCGUGGGGAGCAAACAGGAUUAGAUACCCGCGUAGUCCCUGUCUCUUAUACA